CUUGGAACCCCAGGUUUGGAUUAAGCGAGAGCCUCUGAGGAGGUAUAUUAUCUCACUCUUCUAAUCUCAUGCAUUGUAUCUUGGAAAUAAAUGACGGAGAGAAGAAAAAGACACAGAAUCAAAAAUGUUAUUCUGAAAUUUGAAGAAGAAAACAUUAAUAUUGCGACCGGCACUUUUUAGAACUUGGCAAUUAUAAUUUGUUAUGUCAAAUCAUUGUCGCCAUAUUGUCUUGUAUUUGUCGGGUUUUUUCCCCUUUUUUUUUAUUUGUUUAGCACAUCCUUUUUGUACGUAGCCCCUGGAGGGCCAUUUUGUUACGACUUAUUUAUUGAAUAUUUUUAAAAUAAUAAUGAAGUUCCCGAGGGGAACAAUUUGCAAAGAUGAAGGACACAUCAACCCAUAGGCCUCUUGUUUUUAGGUCAUCUGAGUCACUCAGAUGCAUGACGUAUUGCAAUUGGUCUGUGUCCAUCGUGUGUUAACAAUUAAACAUUUUUAACUUCUUCUUGAUAACUACCAUUCCAAUUCUUUUCAAAUUUGGUGUGAAGCAUCUUUGGGACAAGGGGGAUUUAAAUUGUAAAUUUUAGUCACCAUUAUAAUGUAAUGAUCAUAUAGAUGGGAUGAUUUCAGCCAUCGUCAACUUCCCAUAUAUAUGUACAUGUAGCAAUAUUCCAUUAUCACCUGUAUAUAGUGUUCAUAUCUCUCAGCUGAUUCAAUACGCAAAAGCUUUGUUCUGCUUAUGAUCAGUUUUUAAAUCGAAGCAGGCUACUGAAAAACAAGUUGAUGGUGUAGGGGUUCCAACAGUCUCGUUUGAAGUCAGCAUUUUGCAAAUUCUAUGCUAGCUAGUUUACCAAUACAACCUAUCAUUGGGUCAAAUGCUGUCUGGCGUGUUUCAUACCGAUUGUUAGGUCGUUCUUGGCACACUGAUUUCGACUGCGGAUGAGGGUCAUUGCCUGAUCAGGAUAUGGGGCUCAUGGCGGGUGUGUCCGGUCGACAGGGGACACUUACUCCUCCUAGGCACCUGAUCCCACCUCUGGUAUAUCCAGGGGCUCCAUGUUUGCCCAACUCUCUAUUUUGCAUUGCUUAGAAUAGGAGUUAUGAGAUUGAUCACUGUUUGUUAUCUUCACCUUACAUAAGCUUUACGUCUGGUCACCCAUUGAUUUAAUGGUCAGUUCAUUAUAAUGGUAUUGAUAAACGCAAAUAAACCAAUGGUUUUUCACAUUUUUAUUCUAUUAUCAUAUAGUACAACAAAUUGUGUUUUACGGCAUACAUCUGCUUCCCUUAAUUGAUAGUACAUAUGGGAUUACAAAAUUUUGGCAAACAGUGUCAUUGAUCACUCUUCAGCCAAUCUUAUACCCAGAGAAACUAAGCCGAGAGUGUUCAUUACUUUCUAAUAUAGAUCCACCAUACCAACCGACCUGUGUGUAAACAGUUUGAUUCUUUUCCAGGGACAAAAUAGUGAAAGUGGAAGAAGAUGUUCGAUCAUUGUGGUUUCCGGAAUCCGAAAAUCCGACAUUUUUCACCACGCCAUCAAGCAUCAAUUUGACGGUACUCCAAGAACCGUCGAAUGCUACUACAGUCACGUGAAAAGCAUAUAGGCCACUGUCUGGUGUAACAAAUUUUCCGGUAACGACGUCAUAUCCUUUCCCCAGAUUGAGUUCCACCACGUCAUACACUAAGAUCUUGUUUGCAGAUAGCGAGCUGAUUUUGACACUUUUUGACAUGUAUGUAUAGAAAGCAAUGUUCCUUCCUGCAUAAAUAUAAAAAUUUAAAUGUUAUUGUCAACAUUCAAGGGAAAAACCAGCAAGACAAACAAACAGACGGACAGAGGUAUCCAUAGGUCUAUUAUAAUAUAUACACACAACAGACAAAUUAUGUAUAUACGUCUGUAGAAUAUAUACACAAUGUUAUACAGUCAUUCUACAGUCGUUUAGGACACCUUUCAAUCAGAAGGUCACGUGUUUCUAUUCCUGACCCAGUCUCCAUGGUAACAUAAGUAGAUUCUAGUGAUUGUUCCUUCGCCGAGUGCCCUUCAUUGGAAACGAAAGUCACUGGCCGUUCAAAUAUGACCUAAACACCAAGGUCCCGUGUUACGGUAGGCUUUGGCACGUUCAAGAACCCUAUGCUACGUCCGUAAGUGUUUUAAGGUAGCUCACUACACUAAAUCUUAUACUCUUUAUGACACUAUGUCACAAGAUGGUGAUUUAGAUGUUUUGUGAAAGUAUUUGAAUCGAUCGAUUUGUUCGUAUAACAUCGUAGCUCAGUGGUUAAAGCAUUGAGCUGGUGAACCGCAGAUCUCGAGUUCAAAUCUGCCAGAGUUUUUUGUUCAUAUGUGUUGAAAUAAUUUUUUGAAAAUCAUGUUUUUAUCCAAAUUUACAUAUUUUCUGCCUGUUUGACAUAUAUACGUAUUAUAUAUCAUCAUAUCUUUUAUGAUUAAACUAGGGGUGAAUCAAUAUAUCGAUAUAUCGAAAUGUACCGGUAUACGCCUGUCCAGCGAUAUACGAUACGGUGUUUCGACGAUACGAUACGAUAUAAUGUCGGGUUAAAAAUAGCCCUUUUAAUAGUCGGGAUCGAGGUUCAUAAUUUAAAAAAUGGCUUCUAACAGGAACACGAAUCCUCAGACUUUAAUACCCGCUUUUACAUUGUGACAUCAAAGAUUCCUCAGACUUUAAUCCUCGCUUUUACAUUGUGACACAUCGGAGAUUUCUCAGACUUUAAUCCCCGCUUUUACACUGUGACAUUGGUGUUUCCUCAAAUUUUAAUUGUCAUUGUUUGUUUUGUUAUGAAAUAAAAGAUAUUAAACCACUUCA